rnacentral:rRNA from 1 species
GGAUGAGCCCGCGGCCUAUCAGCUUGUUGGUGGGGUAAUGGCCUACCAAGGCGGCGACGGGUAGCCGGCCUGAGAGGGUGUACGGCCACAUUGGGACUGAGAUACGGCCCAGACUCCUACGGGAGGCAGCAGUGGGGAAUAUUGCACAAUGGGCGCAAGCCUGAUGCAGCGACGCCGCGUGGGGGAUGAAGGCCUUCGGGUUGUAAACUCCUUUCGCUAGGGACGAAGCUUUGUUGUGACGGUACCUAGAUAAGAAGCACCGGCCAACUACGUGCCAGCAGCCGCGGUAAUACGGAGGGUGCGAGCGUUAAUCGGAAUUACUGGGCGUAAAGCGCAUGCAGGUGGUUUGUUAAGUCAGAUGUGAAAGCCCGGGGUCAACUCGGA